UUUAUUUCUUUGGAUCACCAAAGGCAUAUACAAGGAACUGGAUUCCUCCUAGAAAGGAAGUACAUUCGUGCUAAAAAGAGGAAUUUCAUUGAAGCAUGGUACAUCCAUGUCAGAAGGGGAAAGUAGAACCAUGAAGCAACUCCAUUGUCGAAAUUGAGAAUAUUUAGACUUUUGAAGAAAGAAAAGUGUCUUGAAAAAAAGCAUAUCCUAUAUAAGAAAUUAAAUAAUAAUAGUACUCACUAUGUUUCGAAAUAUAAGACGUUAUUUGCAGUUCGGUUCGAAUGUGAACCGCAAAAUACAUCUUAUAAUUAGGAAUAGAGGUAAUACUUGUAUAACAACAAAUAGUUGGUUUAAC
rnacentral:lncRNA from 1 species